rnacentral:rRNA from 1 species
AACGAACGCUGGCGGCAUGCCUAACACAUGCAAGUCGAACGAGAGCUCCGGGUCUAGUGGCGCUCGGGUGCGUAACGCGUCGGAAGCUGCCCUUAGGUUCCGAAUAACUCCCUGUCAGGGGUGCUAAUAUCGGAAAAUGUCUUCGGACCAAAGAUUGAUCGCCCUUGGAUGGGCCCGCGUUGGAUUGGCCAGUUGGUAGGGUAAAAGCCUACCAAGGCGACGAUCCAUAGCUGGUCUGAGAGGAUGAUCAGCCACACUGGGACUGGGACACGGGCCAGACUCUGACGGAAGGCAGCAGUGGGGAACAUGGGACAAUGGGUGAAAGCAGGAGCCAGCAAUGUCGCGAGACUGAUGUAUUCCGUAGGAUUGUAAGGCUCUUUUACCCGGGAUGAUAAUGCGGGUACCGGGGGAAUAAGCUCCGGCUACCUCGGU